CAGAUGCAUAAAAUGAUCUUUGACAUAAACGGCAAACAACUUGAAUGUGUAUCUACGCGCUGAUCAGUUUUGUCCCGUUUGCACAGCGCCGCAUUUCAGUCGCGCGCAUCUCGCGAGAGCGAUCACAUAAAAGCGCGUGAGCGCCGCUGUUUAAACUUCAACGGUUCACGGUGCGCUGAAUGCGCUCAGCACUCGGGAGAACGACGAUUACAUUGGUAAGUGAGAAUAUUAAUUAAUUUUAGCUUAUUUUAAUUAAUUUUACAUAAACCCUUGUCAUUUUUUACUUAGCAACCCGUUUCUUUCAAGAAGCUAAAAGAAGAAAGGUGGUUUAUCGCGUUGUCCAGGCCCGCGCAAUUCUCCGCCGGGAGAUUGGACCUAUACAUAUACAGGAAAAGAUUAAACAAAGUUUCAGUCAAAUCUCCGUCAGACUGCCGUUAUAAACAUGAAGAGAGAAGCAGCUGAUGGAGAUGUUUCAAUUUUUUUUGUGUGGAUAACUAUGUUCAUCUAUCUGAGAGAGCACUGUUAAAGUUUUAGCUCCAUCUUAUCAGAGAGCUGAAAAGUGGGAGUCAGAGGAAACAUGAUCAACCUGCUGCAAAACAACACAAAAGGUCUGGACUCUGGAGUGCAGCAUUACUUGUUUGGUCAUCUACAUUCAGAUGAAAACACCACACUUCUCUCUAAUUCAAGUAAGUUUUAAUGUAAUUGUGAGAGAUUAUUUUCUUUUUCCUGUUGUACUGUAC